UACGGAGGGUGCGAGCGUUAAUCGGAAUUACUGGGCGUAAAGCGCACGUAGGCGGCCUGUUAAGCUGGAUGUGAAAGCCCCGGGCUCAACCUGGGAAUGGCUUCCAGAACUGGCAGGCUAGAGUACGGUAGAGGUGAGUGGAAUUUCCUGUGUAGCGGUGAAAUGCGUAGAUAUAGGAAGGAACACCAGUGGCGAAGGCGGCUCACUGGACUGGUACUGACGCUGAGGUGCGAAAGCGUGGGGAGCAAACAGGAUUAGAUACC
rnacentral:rRNA from 1 species